UGCCCACUCCUCUGCUCUGUCCCUGCCCGAGACCCAAACCUAGCUAGCGCGGCGGCGGCGGCUUACCUGGCGGGCGCGAGGUCGCGAGGACCAUGGCACCAGGCGGGCGCGGGCGGCGGAAGGCUGGGGGCUUGGAGCCUUGGAGGGCGGCGGAUCCAGCGGCGCAGCAAGCGACGGCAGCAGCAAGCAGCGGCUCCGGCGGCGACUUCAGCGGCGCGGCGGCUUCAACGGCGGCUCCAGCAGGCGACGGCCACAGUCGGGGUUUGGGAUUCAGUUUUGUCUAGAUUGCUAGAAGAUGGAAGGAAAGGGAAAGGGACUAGUAAAUCCAAAGAAAAGAGGAAGAGAUUUGAAAAGGUUUUAGGUUGUUUUCCUAUUGAGACAUGUCUACAUUUCCAUUGUAUUUGGUUAUUCGUUCGUAGUGUGUAUUGACUCUUUGAUUCGCAUCAAAAAAAAUCUUAGUGAGACUUCGCCA